rnacentral:pre_miRNA from 1 species
UAAAUACUCCCUCCGUCCGGAAAUACUUGUCAUCAAAAUGAAUAAAAGGGGAUGUAUCUAGAUGUAUUCUAGUUCUAGAUACAUCCCUUUUUGUUCAUUUUGAUGACAAGUAUUUUCGGACGGAGGGAGUAUAAA